UUCCAUGCCUAAAAUACUUUCAUGGGCUCUUCAGCCAGAUCCAAGUUCCUUAAGGGCUGAUUCUGGGGCCAGAGUGCUCUUUAGGAAUCUGCCAUUCUAUUAGUCUGCUGUGUAUCCCACUUCCUAUGCUGGAUUGUUCUCUCCCUUUUUUAUUCUAUCCGGUAGUAUUAGCAGACACUAGUCUUGUUAAUGUGAUCCCUUUGACUCUUAGACCUAUCAGUGUGAUCAAUUGUGAACUGAAAUUGAUCACUUGGACUAGUGAGAUGGCAUUGGUACAUGCCACCUUAAUUGGAUUGUAUUGGAAUCCCCUGGCACAUUUCUAACUCUUCCAUUUGGUACAAGUCCAAUUGAGCAUGCUAAAUUUUAUUUUAUUUUAUUUUUUUUUAACUUUUAUUUAAUGAAUAUACGUUUCCAAAGUACGAAUAAUGGAUUACUAUGGCUUCCCCCCCAUACCGUCCCACCCACAACCCUCCCCUUUCCCACUCCCUCUCCCCUUCCAUUCACAUCAAUCUUCUGUAUAUAAAGAGAAUUGAAAAUGAAUCUUGAUGUGAAUGGAAUGGUAGAGGGAGCAUGAAAUGGGAGGGGUGUGAGUGGGAGGGAAGCUAUGGGGGGAAGAAGCCAUUGUAAUCCAUAAACUGUACUUUGGAAAAUUAUAUUUACUAAAUAAAAGUUAAAAAAAAAGAAUUCAAAAAAAUAAAGUUUAGCAACUUCUAAAACAAACAAACAAACAAACAAACAAAAAAUCAUAGCUCAUAUCACACCCAAGAAUUCACAAUAGGGAGAAACUUCAUGAAUGCAAUGACUGUAGAAAAGCCCUUGGCAAUAAGUCACAUCUCAGAAUGCAUCAGAAAAUGCACAGGAAAUGCACUUGGAAAGCUUUUUCCCAUAAUUCAGCCCUCAUUGCACAUUAUCUAAUUCAUAUGGGGGAAAACACUUUGGAUAUAAUGCAUAUGGAAAAGCCUUUAUCCAUAAGUAACACCUCAUAAAACACCAGAAUUCACAUGGGGGAGAAAGCUUAUGAAUGGAAUUUAAUGAAUGUGAAAAAAUUUUUCUGCCAUCAAUCAAUUCACAUGAAGAGACUCCGAAAUGAGAAAACAUACAUGCAUAGAAAAGUCAUGUACCAUACGUCACACCUCAAUGGUUACCUGACAACUCACAGAAAGAAAAAAUUCUAUGACUGUAUUAUCAUGGGAAAUACCUUUAUUAUUAGGCAAACUUCCACAAAACAUAGCAAGAUUACAGAGAGAAGUCCCUGAAAUAUAAUUUGUGUGGAAGAAUUCUUUGGUGGAAUCACACCUUAGUGAGUAUUGGGCAGUUUUCAUGAUGAAUUGUGACAAAGAGUGGUUAACCGUUCUUCAGAAAUUUUUCUCUUAUUCAACCUGAACUUUUGGUUUCUCAUUAUUGUAAGUGGGAUCAAGUGUAUGAACUGAACUGUGCUCUCUUGUGUAAAUUUUGUUAAUAAAUAUUUAAAAGUUGAGUAACAGUUAUUUCAACAGUUAUUUGGAAUACCAUCUUCAUCAAUUACAAAGUUAUUUGUUUUAUAGCUGCUUUGUUGGCCACCCAGGAUUCUUUCCCCACAUUAUUGUAGUGCAAACCAGUGAUGUGACCAUAGGCAUAUCAAGUGACACAUGUUCCAGCCAUAAUAGUGUACCCUGGCCCUGGAUAAUAAAUGUUGUGUGCAACACAAGGGAAUGAGUUUGUGGUGACUUAUAUACCCAUGAGAAAUUUCAACUAAUCUGUGUGCACAUCUGGAUUAGACUCCACUACCCAAGGUCUAUUUGAAGAUGCAAGUAGAUGUUGCCACACACAUUACCCUCAUUCUUUAAAGGGACAACCUCAAACCCUAUAAGUUGCAACAUUCAUCUGAAUUUUCCUGUAUUACUGAGUGUAUAAUACCUUUUUCAUUCAUGAUGCCACUUUUCUACGCUUUUUCAUUCUAUUCCUAAUUGCCUUGAGACAAGAACAUGGAAUGAAGUCUAUCCAGGUGGUACCCAUUGCAAUAGAGAAGCAGGAGCAUAAGUGUAGUAUUUUUUUUUAAAAAAGAUUUAUUUAUUUGAAAGAAUUACACAGAAAGAGCAGAAACAGAAUUUUCCAUGCAAUGGUUCACUCCCCAAUUGGCCACAAUAGCCAGAACUGUGCUGAUCCAAAACCAGGAGCUUCCUCCAGAUCUCCCAUGUAGGUGCAGGGAUCUAAGCACUUGGGCCUUCUACUAUUUCUCAGGCCAUAGCAGAGAGCUAGCUUGGAAGUGGAGCAACUGGGUCUCGAACCAGCACCCACAUGGGAUGCCAGCACUUCAGGUCAGGGCAUUAACCUGUUGUGACACAGUGCUGGCCCCUGUAGUACACUUUUGUAUUAAUUUAACAUAAUUUUUAUAACCUUUUUUUGUUGCAUUAUUCCCUGCUUCUGCAGGUGGCCCUGAUUUUUAUUGAAAAUGUGUGUUUUUAUUUCCAAUUUACAAAGUCCUUUCUGGAUUAAUAUAAAUCUGAUUUACAUUCAGUUUGUUCCUCAGGAUACCCUCAGGAGGAACACUUUUCCUAGGUUGCUUGGCUAUCCCAUGAUAACAGGGCUACAAAUGCUAUGAUGCAUCUAGCUUCAGUAGCUCUUUUAUUUCCCAUCUAGAUAAUAGCUGUGCAACUAAUCCAUUCCACCUCCAUUACUACCCAUGAGAAAUAGCUCUUCAUCCCUGUUUAAGUCCCCACAGCUUCUUACAAAUGUUCAUCAAAUUAAAUCUUACUAUAAACAGAUUUAAUAGAAAAUGAAUGAUGUAGCUGCUGGUAGUUUCAGUGAGGUUGAAUGAUUUGCUGGACUACUGUUUUGUCUGGGUUAUCUUUCAUAUUACUUAGAACUAAUUUUUCACAAUAUUACUUGCCUGAGCACUUUUUCCUAGGCUCCCAGCUAAACAGGUAUUUGAAGACUAGAUUUACUGUUAAUUCUCACUAAGGACAGAGGUCCCACAUUGAGAGCACAGAUCCUUAAGUGGUCCUUGGGACAUAGUGAAUGAAUAUUAUACCCACUUGAUUUAGUACUCAGGCACUGGUCUCCAUUGAAGAGAAGAACUCAGCUGAACAGAAUAUAACUCCCUUCCAAUUAAAAAAAGAUUUACCAUGCCAAACCUGGGUGUGUCACCUUAGGCAUACCCUUUAUCCUUGAAAACUGAACAGAGCUCUCUGGCCACACCCACUACAAGUCUCUAGAGAUUUGGUGAAAGCAGAAAGUCCAUUUAUCUACAGUCAUAAUACAAUGAUAAAAAUUGCCAGAAAAAAAAAAAGUAUUUCCACAAAUGCCAAAUGCAAGAAUCCAAGAAGGAAGAAUAAGGAAAACAUCAUCAUGCUCCCAAAAGAACAUGACAGUUCAAUACUAGGUCAUGAAGAUGAUGAGAGACGAAAUGCAAGAAAUAGAACUCAAAAAUUUGGUCAUAAGAUUACAUAGAAGUAAUCAAGAGCAAAUGCACAAACUACUGAAAUCCAUGAAGGACAUGAAAGAAAAUCUCUCCCAUGAAGUAAAAAUUAUCAGGAGGAAUCAAGAUGAAAUGAAGAAUUCAACAGAACAUGAAACUGAGAUAUUAAAAAGAAAUCAAAAUGAAAUGAAGAAUUCAAUAUAAUAAAAAAUGCAGUGGAGAGCCUUAGAAAUAGAAUCAGUGAGGCAGAAGAGAGAAUACCAGACUUAGUAGACAAAGUACAGGAAAGUAUACAGUCAAACCAAACACAAGAAAAGGAGAUUAGAAAUCUAAAAAAGACUGUUGGGAUAUACAGGAUACUAUAUAUAUAUAUAUAUAUAUAUAUAUAUAUAUAUAUAUAUAAAGACUCUCCAUGUGGGUCCACCAUGUCCCUCUCAUGUCAGUAGAAUUUCCUCUGUCAUUUUUUCCCUAACUCUUCCCUGAGACUACUCUAUUUCCACUUUUUUAAAACUAUCUUCUCCUGGGCUAGAGCAGUAAGCUCCCUCCCAACUCUACCAUCCAAUUAUUAGCCCAUCUCUAUAUGAUUAUGACUCUGUUUCUGCCAAAUUACUAAUUUAUACACCAUAUAAUCAAAAUUAAAUGCCUUCCAUGGAAUGCAUAUUUAUUUUGUCAUUUACUACUAUCACCUGCAUGUGUAAUGAAUAACCUGAUUUGUGACAUUCCUAACACAGGGAAAUGAUGGGUACCAUGGUUUGAUUUAUAAUUGUGUGGUCAUCAACUCACUCUAAAUGCUGGAAGUUGUCCCAGCAAUUGUCAUGUGUAUAGGAUUUGAGUACAUUACAGUGCCAGCACCAUCAUGGUCAUCAGCAUAGGAUACAUUCUUAAUGUUUCUAGAUGCUCCUGGAACUGUAAAUUAUUUUCUGAUUGUGGAAAUUUUCCAAACUGCAAGUCUGUAUCAUACUGUAAUUUUUCCAGUUUAUUCCGGACUGUUUUUUCACCAAAUAUUCAUCCGCAUAUUUAUUUUUUAAUUAUGGCUCACAUUAAAAGACACAUUGUUACUAAGGGCAAGGCAAAGUUUUAACUUCCAUGUGCAUCAGGUUUCUAUUUUUUAUUUUGUCUUUCAUUUUAUUAAUUUCAUCUGAGUAUGUCAAUAUCCACAUGGAAAGCAAUCUUAGCACUGCCAAGGUAUGAUUCUUUUGGGCACUUAUAUUUUCAUAUCAUGAAUGCACUAAAUAAUGUUCAAGUUGUCUUAGCAACCUCCAUCUUUAUGGCCUAUCAAAUAAUUUUAGAGCAUUACAUUUUUUUUUUUUUGCAUUACAUUCUUUUACACUUUCAAGGACACUUUUUUAUAGCUUCUUUAUAUUUCAAGAAUCAAAAUUGUCAUUCUCUUUAAAAUUUCCAUGCAUUGGAUCGAGACAAUUUUAUCUUGGUUUUAAAAUUACUGAAUUCAAUGGCAUAAGCUUUCUUUGAUUUAAGAGAGGACAAAUUUUCUGUAUUUAAAUGUGUAUUUAGGGCUAUUUUUAUUAAUAUCUGUUACAUCUCCUUGUAACCUUAUUCCUGCUUCUACUAUAUUUACCAUUUGUACACACAACUGUCAAUAUAUUGAAAUGAAUACAUGUCUCUAUUUUUCAUGUUUAUUCAAAUUUAUUAUUACCACCUCAAUAAAUAAUAACCUGAUUUGUGCCAAUUCUAGUGCAGGGAACUUCAGGCUACCAUUAGAGGUUGGUAGACUUGGAGACACAGAGAAACAAAGAUUAUGAGCUACAACUUGGUGGCUUAUUCUUCAUUCUUGUAAUGAUCAGAAACUGAAUUAUUACAGAAAUCUGAGCUAUUCUUUUCUGAUGACAAAUACAUUAUAAAAAUUUCAAAAUGUUGCUCUCUAUAUUACAAAUUAUAUAUAUGUACUUUAUAUUGUCAUAAACACACACUAUAUAUUAUAUAUAAACACCUUUAAAAUUCUCCUUGUCAUUGGUAUAAAUGUUUUGAAUUUUAAAUAUUUACUUUUAAAAUUUUAUUUAAUAUAAGUUUGAUAUAUUUCAUAUAUACAGACUAAUGAAUGUAAGUGACACUUUCCCCGAUACCCUCUCUCCCACACACACUCCAACCCUUUCUCCUCUUCCCUCUCACAUUCCCACUUAAUUUUACAAAAUCUGUUUUGAGUUUACUUAAUGAUUGUAUAGUUAACCCUACACUAAGUAAGAGUUCAACAAGUCAGCGAAUAGUAUGAAGAAAAAAAAUAAAUUAAAAAAAAAUCACUGUUCCUCAAUGGAAGAGACAAGGGCUGUAAACAAUCAUCAAAUCUCAAAAUGUGUAUCUAACUCCAAUACAUUACAUUUUAGGUACUCUAUUAGCUACCUCAGAUCAGGGAAAACAUAUGAUAUCUGUCUUUUGGGGACUCAUUUAUUUUACUAAGUAUAAUGGUUUCCAGUUUCAUCUAUCUUGUUGCAAAAGACAGGGUUUCUUUUUCUUUCUUUUUUUUUAAUAACUGAGUAGUAUGCCAUAGUGUGUAUAUACCAUAAUUUUUUUUAUCAAUCAACGAUUGAUAUCUGGAUUGUUCCCAGAUCUCAGCUAUUGUGAAUUGUGCUGCAAUGAACAUAGGGUUAUAGAUAACUCUUGCAUAUGCUAAUUUCUUUUGGUUUGGGUAAAUUCCAAGGAGUGGGAUUGCUGGAUCAAAUGGUAGGUCUAUAAUCAAAUUUGUAAGAUAUCUCCAUACGGUCUUCCAUGGUGGCUUGCACCAGUUUACUUACAUUCCAACCAACAGUGGACCAGGGUAACUUUUUUCCACAUCCUCAGCAGUUUUGUCAUUUGUUGAUUUCUUUCUUUCUUUCUUUCUUUCUUUCUUUCUUUCUUUCUUUCUUUCUUUCUUUCUUUCUUUCUUUCUUUCUUUCUUUCUUUCUUUCUUUCUUUCUUUCUUUCUUUCUUUCUUUCUUUUUUUGACAGGCAGAGUUAGGCAGUGAAAGAGAGAGAGACAGAAAGUCUUCCUUCCAUUGGUUCACCCCCAACAAAUGGCCACUACGGCUGGCGCUGAUCUGAAACCAGGAGCCAGGUGCUUCCUCCUGGUCUCCCAUGCAGGUGCUAUUCUUUCUUCCCUAUUUCUGACCCUUAAAACUGUUCCAAAUUAUGGGAUUUGAUUCAAUGCACCAGGUCUUAAAUUUAAGGUUUUAUUUCUGACUUUCGAACAACCAAAGAGACAGAUUUUGUGUUAAAGUAAUCUAUUAUGUUCUCUUAAUGCCUCUUAAGUUCUAAUUGUUUAAAACAACUGAGUUUUAAAUGAGUUAUGAUUUGAUCAAAUCUGGUCUAUACUUUGUUAUGAUGUUAAGGGAUCUUAUUUCAACCAGAUAUUUUAAGCCUUCUUGUCAUCUUUUACAGGCAUUCAAAAAAAAUCAAAGUUCCAAAGAAUUUGGACUUUGAUAUUUCCAGUUGGGUUCCUGGAAAUGUCAAAGGAUAUAUGUCUCUCAUCUUGGAGAGGCACCAACUAAUCAAUCAGGCUAUUUGGGUUAUAUUACAGGUACUGUUAAAAUGUGAAGUCAUGCUAAAUUUUAAGUUUUGAUAAUAUAAAAUGCCACUGAUACAAAUGUCUGAAAGUUAAAAAGUCUAAUGAUCUUGUGUUACUAGACAUAAUGGUUAUCUUAAUGAGAAAGGCCCAGAGGCCUAAAAGAAUUAAAUGUUUUGUAAAAUCCUACAGGUGAUUUUGAAAAUACUGUGUAAAGUAAGCAAAUGCCUCUUGUUGGUUAAUGAGUUUAUCAUUUUGAACAUAGCUAUUUAAAGUCUUUUCUCAUCCACAGUUUUGUAUAUCAGAUUUGGCUGCUCUAAACUAAAACAUUGUUGGUUCUGUGUUUAGCUGCCCUCCUAUAGGUUCUGAUGGAUUUUUCCCAGCCACUUCUAUUGAAUUCAGUAAUUUUGAAUUGUUCUGUAAACAGAUGAAGUGAAUAAUGCACUACAGGUUCCUGUCGCUCCCCCUCUUCGUUGAGGAAUGACACAGGACCCUGCGUUGUUCUUUCGUCUGCUCGGCCCUCCCCAGGUUUGCUGCUGGUUCUUCCUGGGUUGGCUACCGUCCCUUCCACCUCUGUGGAAGGGCGAUUCCCCCUGCCACUUUCCCCACUUCCGCGGGGGAGCGGCACACCGCCAGCCGGCUCUCUCGGGGGCUGCUCAGGUGUUCCUUCAGAUAGAUGUUCCCCUUAGAUGUUCCUGGUGCAUGUUGUCUCUCUCCUCCUUUAUAGUCCUCUUCCACCAAUCCCAACUCUGCUACCCACACGCCGAGUACGCUGCUCUCCUCCAAUCAGGAGCAGGUCCUGCUGCUUAUUGGUUGAACUGGAGGCAGCUGUGUAGAAGCUAUUUUUACUCCUCUCCCAGGGCCAUAUUGUGGGAGAGCAGAUGCAUAGAAUAAGUCUUAAUUCCAGUAACUUAGUCUAGUCCGAGUUGCUCCCCACAGCUCCCCACAUAGGAUCUCUGUCCUUAAUGUGUUUUACUAUGGAACUUAAAGACAACACUACUAGUCGAACAAUACCCUAUACCUUGUGCGGUUGUGUGAGUGCAGCCUAUUGAAAUCCUUGCUUAGCAUAUACUAAGUUGAUCUUCUGUAUAUGAAGGUAAUUGAAAAUGAAACUUGAUGAAGGGUGGGAUGGGAGAGGGAGUGGGAGAGGGGAGGGCCACGGGAGGGAGGGAGGUUGGCGGGGGAAGCCACAACAAUACAAAAGUUGCACUUUGUAAAUUCACAUUUAUUAAAUUAAAAAUAAAGAAAACAGAACUCUUAAGAAUCAUUACUUUGUGAAGAAAUGACUAAUCUGGUAAGAUUAAUAAUAGAAAGACAAACAAUUGUAAAGGCAGUUGCUAAAAAUAAAUCAAAAUUAUAUUUAAAAUGGGAAAAUAGGGCCGGCGCCGCGGCUCACUAGGCUAAUCCUCCGCCUAGCGGCGCCGGCACACCGGGUUCUAGUCCCGGUCGGGGCGCCGGAUUCUGUCCCGGUUGCCCCUCUUCCAGGCCAGCCCUCUGCUGUGGCCCGGGAGUGCAGUGGAGGAUGGCCCAGGUGCUUGGGCCCUGCACCCCAUGGGAGACCAGGAAAAGCACCUGGCUCCUGGCUCCUGCCAUCGGAUCAGCGCGGUGCGCCGGCCGCAGCGCGCCGGCCGCGGCGGCCAUUGGAGGGUGAACCAACGGCAAAAGGAAGACCUUUCUCUCUGUCUCUCUCUCUCACUGUCCACUCUGCCUGUCAAAAAAAAAAUAAAUAAAUAAAA